rnacentral:rRNA from 1 species
CACGUAGGGGGCAAGCGUUGUCCGGAUUUAUUGGGCGUAAAGAGCUCGUAGGCGGCUUAGUAAGUCGGGUGUGAAACCUCCAGGCUCAACCUGGAGACGCCACCCGAUACUGCUGUGGCUAGAGUCCGGUAGGGGAGCGUGGAAUUCCUGGUGUAGCGGUGAAAUGCGCAGAUAUCAGGAGGAACACCGGUGGCGAAGGCGGGUCUCUGGGCCGAUACUGACGCUGAGGAGCGAAAGCGUGGGGGAGCGAACAGG